rnacentral:rRNA from 1 species
GACGAACGCUGGCGGCGUGCUUAACACAUGCAAGUCGAACGGAAAGGCCCUGCUUUUGUGGGGUGCUCGAGUGGCGAACGGGUGAGUAACACGUGAGUAACCUGCCCUUGACUUUGGGAUAACUUCAGGAAACUGGGGCUAAUACCGGAUAGGAGCUCCUGCUGCAUGGUGGGGGUUGGAAAGUUUCGGCGGUUGGGGAUGGACUCGCGGCUUAUCAGCUUGUUGGUGGGGUAGUGGCUUACCAAGGCUUUGACGGGUAGCCGGCCUGAGAGGGUGACCGGCCACAUUGGGACUGAGAUACGGCCCAGACUCCUACGGGAGGCAGCAGUGGGGAAUAUUGCACAAUGGGCGGAAGCCUGAUGCAGCAACGCCGCGUGCGGGAUGACGGCCUUCGGGUUGUAAACCGCUUUCGCCUGUGACGAAGCGUGAGUGACGGUAAUGGGUAAAGAAGCACCGGCUAACUACGUGCCAGCAGCCGCGGUGAUACGUAGGGUGCGAGCGUUGUCCGGAUUUAUUGGGCGUAAAGGGCUCGUAGGUGGUUGAUCGCGUCGGAAGUGUAAUCUUGGGGCUUAACCCUGAGCGUGCUUUCGAUACGGGUUGACUUGAGGAAGGUAGGGGAGAAUGGAAUUCCUGGUGGAGCGGUGGAAUGCGCAGAUAUCAGGAGGAACACCAGUGGCGAAGGCGGUUCUCUGGGCCUUUCCUGACGCUGAGGAGCGAAAGCGUGGGGAGCGAACAGGCUUAGAUACCCUGGUAGUCCACGCUGUAAACGGUGGGUACUAGGUGUGGGGUCCAUUCCACGGGUUCCGUGCCGUAGCUAACGCUUUAAGUACCCCGCCUGGGGAGUACGGCCGCAAGGCUAAAACUCAAAGGAAUUGACGGGGCCCCGCACAAGCGGCGGAGCAUGCGGAUUAAUUCGAUGCAACGCGUAGAACCUUACCUGGGUUUGACAUGGAUCGGGAGUGCUCAGAGAUGGGUGUGCCUCUUUUGGGGUCGGUUCACAGGUGGUGCAUGGCUGUCGUCAGCUCGUGUCGUGAGAUGUUGGGUUAAGUCCCGCAACGAGCGCAACCCUUGUUCACUGUUGCCAGCACGUUAUGGUGGGGACUCAGUGGAGACCGCCGGGGUCAACUCGGAGGAAGGUGGGGAUGACGUCAAGUCAUCAUGCCCCUUAUGUCCAGGGCUUCACGCAUGCUACAAUGGCUGGUACAGAGAGUGGCGAGCCUGUGAGGGUGAGCGAAUCUCGGAAAGCCGGUCUCAGUUCGGAUUGGGGUCUGCAACUCGACCUCAUGAAGUCGGAGUCGCUAGUAGUCGCAGAUCAGCAACGCUGCGGUGAAUACGUUCCCGGGGCU